rnacentral:rRNA from 1 species
UACAGAGGAGCCAAGCGUUGUCCGGAUUGACUGGGCGUAAAGCGCACGCAGGCGGUUGCGCGCGUGGGGUGUGAAAUCUGGCCGCUUAACGGCCAGGCGCCAUCCCAUACGGCGCGACUGGAGUGAUGCAGAGGUCGAUGGAAUCGCCGGUGUAGUGGUGAAAUGCGUAGAGAUCGGCAGGAACACCCAGGGGGAAACCAGUCGACUGGGCAUCUACUGACGCUGAGGUGCGAGAGCGUGGGGAGCGAACCGG